rnacentral:rRNA from 1 species
AGCUCCAAUAGCGUAUAUUAAAGUUGUUGCAGUUAAAAAGCUCGUAGUUGAAUUUCUUUCAAUUGCCGGCUAGAUCGCGCAAGUGAUUUCUGGUUGGCGUUGAUAUAUUUUGGGGUGCGUUGCCUCUUCACUGGGGUAGCGUAUGCUCAGAAAGUUACUUUGAGAAAAUUAGAGUGUUUCAAGCAGGCAUUUGCCUUGAAUACUACAGCAUGGAAUAACAUGAUAGGACUUUGGUCCUUUCUUGUUGGUUCGGAGGACUAAGGUAAUGAUUAACAGGGACAGUCGGGGGCAUUCGUAUUUAACUGUCAGAGGUGAAAUUCUUAGAUUUGUUAAAGACGAACUACUGCGAAAGCAUUUGCCAAGGAUGUUCCCA